AUGAACGCUGGCGGCGUGCUUAACACAUGCAAGUCGAACGGAAAGGCCAGUGCUUGCACUGGUACUCGAGUGGCGAACGGGUGAGUAACACGUGGGUGAUCUGUCCUGCACUUCGGGAUAAGCCUGGGAAACUGGGUCUAAUACCGGAUAGGACAAUGGUUUGGAUGCCGUUGUGGAAAGUUUUUUCGGUGUGGGAUGAGCUCGCGGCCUAUCAGCUUGUUGGUGGGGUAAUGGCCUACCAAGGCGUCGACGGGUAGCCGGCCUGAGAGGGUGUACGGCCACAUUGGGACUGAGAUACGGCCCAGACUCCUACGGGAGGCAGCAGUGGGGAAUAUUGCACAAUGGGCGCAAGCCUGAUGCAGCGACGCCGCGUGGGGGAUGACGGCCUUCGGGUUGUAAACUCCUUUCGCUAGGGACGAAGCGUAUUUGUGACGGUACCUGGAGAAGAAGCACCGGCUAACUACGUG
rnacentral:rRNA from 1 species